UCAGUACAAACGCUGAAAUAAUUACACAAGACGAGAAGACCCUGUGGAACUUUAAGUUUUCUGCUAGCGGCACCAAAAUUUCCCCAACCCCCUUCUAACAGACACUUUCAGUUGGGGCAACUACGGAGCAAAAAAAUCCUCCACGAACAACAAUUUACACCUGUCCCUCAGGCUUACACGCCACCCACCCUCUGUCAGACCCAGCAAAGCUGACCUACGAACCAAGCUACCCCAGGGAUAACAGCGCUAUCCCCUUCAAGAGUCCAUAUCGCCAAGGGGGUUUACGACCUCGAUGUUGGAUCAGGACCCCCCGGCGGUGCAGCCGCUGCCAAAGGUUCGUUUGUUCAACGAAUAACGUCCU
rnacentral:rRNA from 1 species